rnacentral:rRNA from 1 species
UACGUAGGGGGCUAGCGUUGUCCGGAAUCAUUGGGCGUAAAGAGCGUGUAGGCGGCCCGGUAAGUCCGCUGUGAAAGUCGGGGGCUCAACCCUCGGAUGCCGGUGGAUACUGUCGGGCUCGAGUACGGAAGAGGCGAGUGGAAUUCCUGGUGUAGCGGUGAAAUGCGCAGAUAUCAGGAGGAACACCUAUUGCGAAGGCAGCUCGCUGGGACGUUACUGACGCUGAGGCGCGAAAGCGUGGGGAGCAAACAGG